GUGUCCAGUGCAGAGAUGUUGGAGGAAGUAAAAGCACAAUCAGCUUGAUGUUGAGGACGACUGUGCAGCAGAGAGGCUGCUGAGUUGUUUCAUUCUACUGCAGUGGAAGAACAUUGAUCAUCUGUUUGGCUUCAACUACGAAGACUAAGACAUGUUGCUUCACCUCUUUUUGUUUUUAUCUCCCUUCAUAGCCAUGGGUUCCAUGUACAGCAUAACGCCAGAAAGUCCUGAAGAAGUAGUUUCAGAGGGAAGACACAUCAACCUGACCUGUAAAUAUAACGGAUCCAUCAACAACAUCCAGUGGUACCGACAACAGCAGAGAUCCAGACCAGAGUUCCUGCUCUACAUCACAGAGGACGGAUCCAUUCAUCCAACUCUGUCUGAUUUCUCUGCUCACAUCAACCAAACUGAGAAACGAGUCAAACUGCAGAUCUCCUCUGCUGCAGUGACAGACUCUGCUGUGUACUACUGUGCUGUGAGGCCCACAGUGACAGGAAACUACACAACUCUGUACAAAAACCUGUGGAGCAAAGACAAUACUCCUCUUCCUCCACCAGAGAGAGUCAAUAACAGGUUUGUGUGUUUGAGCUGAAAGCUGCAGAAUCAACAGACGUGUGGUUUAGGUGUUGGUAACAAGCAGUGAUAUGAGAGGACGGACAGAGAGGGAGGAGCAACACUGUCAAAGAGCAGAGCAGAAAAGACCUCCUGCUGUGCUGC